UCCAAAUAGUCCUAGGGUUCCUCUGAAGAUGUACCGCCAUAGGUAGUGGUGAAAAGCUUGGUGAACCUUUCCAAUCUCCACAAGGCAUCAGAAGACAUAGCUGGUCCAUUACUUGUUUGUGCUACAACUCCCGACGGAACUACCCUAAUUGACUGAGUUACUGGAGUCUGAUACUGGAGAGCCAUCUCAUCCAAAGUGCGAGUAGCAAGAGUUUGUACUUCUUCCCCAACCCGAGAGACGGCUGGUGCCACAGGAAGUAUGCCGACCUAAGUAA
rnacentral:lncRNA from 1 species